rnacentral:rRNA from 1 species
CCCUUAGAUGUUCUGGGCUGCACGCGCGCUACACUGAAGCGUUCAACGAGUAUUUCACCUUGCCCGGGAGGGUUGGGUAAUCUUUUUAAAACGCUUCGUGAUGGGGAUAGAUUAUUGCAAUUAUUAAUCUUCAACGAGGAAUUCCUAGUAAGCGCGAGUCAUCAGCUCGUGCUGAUUACGUCCCUGCCCUUUGUACACACCGCCCGUCGCACCUACCGAUUGAAUGGUCCGGUGAAAUCUCCGGACUGGCGUGAGUCGGAGCAAUCUGACAAACGCCGGAAAGUUGAUUAAACCUUACCAUUUAGAGGAAGGUGAAGUCGUAACA